GAGUCUGGCUUGAGUCAGUGGUUGUGAAUCUAACCAGUGUGGCAGAGUACAUCGUUCAUAUCGAUGGGGUCACUGGUUCGAGUCCAGUACAGACCACCA
rnacentral:tRNA from 1 species